rnacentral:rRNA from 1 species
GGCUACGGCCAUAUCAUGAUGAAUGCACCUCAUCCCGUCCGAUUUGAGAAGUUAAGCAUCGUCGAGCCACAUCAGUACUGAGGUUGGAGACAACUUGGGAACCUGUGGUGCUGUAGUCU